rnacentral:rRNA from 1 species
CAGCAGCCACGGUAAUACGUAGGUCCCGAGCGUUGUCCGGAUUUAUUGGGCGUAAAGCGAGCGCAGGCGGUUAGAUAAGUCUGAAGCUAAAGGCUGUGGCUUAACCAUAGUACGCUUUGGAAACUGUUUAACUUGAGUGCAAGAGGGGAGAGUGGAAUUCCAUGUGUAGCGGUGAAAUGCGUUGAGAUUGGAAAGAACACCAACGGCGAAAGCACUCUGUUGAGCCGACACUGACAUUGAGAGACGAAAUCUAGGGGAGCAAAUGGGAUUAGAUACCCGGGUAGUCCCUGUCUCUUAUACA